rnacentral:rRNA from 1 species
GAGUGGCGAACGGGUGAGUAAUGCGUGACCGACCUGCCCCAUGCACCGGAAUAGCUCCUGGAAACGGGUGGUAAUGCCGGAUGCUCCAUCACACUGCAUGGUGUGUUGGGAAAGCCUUUGCGGCAUGGGAUGGGGUCGCGUCCUAUCAGCUUGAUGGCGGGGUAACGGCCCACCAUGGCUUCGACGGGUAGCCGGCCUGAGAGGGCGACCGGCCACAUUGGGACUGAGAUACGGCCCAGACUCCUACGGGAGGCAGCAGUGGGGAAUAUUGCACAAUGGGCGCAAGCCUGAUGCAGCGACGCCGCGUGAGGGAUGGAGGCCUUCGGGUUGUAAACCUCUUUUGUUAGGGAGCAAGGCAUUUUGUGUUGAGUGUACCUUUCGAAUAAGCACCGGCUAACUACGU